UCUCUGGUGGUCUGGUGGUUAGGACUCUGCCUUGCAAUGCAGAGACGCAGGUUCGAUCCCUGGUCCGGGAA
rnacentral:tRNA from 1 species